rnacentral:rRNA from 1 species
CCCUUAGAUGUUCUGGGCCGCACGCGCGCUACACUGACGAAUGCAACGAGCUUAUAACCUUGGCCGAAAGGUCUGGGUAAUCUCCAAAUUUCGUCGUGAUGGGGAUAGAUUAUUGCAAUUAUUAAUCUUCAACGAGGAAUGCCUAGUAAGCGCAAGUCAUCAGCUUGCGUUGAUUACGUCCCUGCCCUUUGUACACACCGCCCGUCGCACCUACCGAUUGAAUGGUCCGGUGAAAUCUCGGGACGGCGGCUUGGUCGCUUGCGUCUGACUGCUGAAACUUGAUUAAACCAUAUCAUUUAGAGGAAGGUGAANUCGUANCA